GCCAUCCCGCGUGUAUGAUGAAGGCCUUCGGGUUGUAAAGUACUUUUGGCAGAGAAGAAAAGGUAUCCCCUAAUACGGGAUACUGCUGACGGUAUCUGCAGAAUAAGCACCGGCUAACUACGUGCCAGCAGCCGCGGUAAUACGUAGGGUGCAAGCGUUAAUCGGAAUUACUGGGCGUAAAGCGUGUGUAGGCGGUUCGGAAAGAAAGAUGUGAAAUCCCAGGGCUCAACCUUGGAACUGCAUUUUUAACUGCCGAGCUAGAGUAUGUCAGAGGGGGGUAGAAUUCCACGUGUAGCAGUGAAAUGCGUAGAUAUGUGGAGGAAUACCGAUGGCGAAGGCAGCCCCCUGGGAUAAUACUGACGCUCAGACACGAAAGCGUGGGGAGCAAACAGGAUUAGAUACCCUGGUAGUCCACGCCCUAAACGAUGUCAACUAGCUGUUGGGGCCGUUAGGCCUUAGUAGCGCAGCUAACGCGUGAAGUUGACCGCCUGGGGAGUACGGUCGCAAGAUUAAAACUCAAA
rnacentral:rRNA from 1 species